rnacentral:rRNA from 1 species
CACGUAGGGUGCGAGCGUUGUCCGGAAUUAUUGGGCGUAAAGAGCUCGUAGGCGGUGUGUCGCGUCGGCCGUGAAAACCUGCAGCUUAACUGUGGGCUUGCGGUCGAUACGGGCAUCACUAGAGUUCGGCAGGGGAGACUGGAAUUCCUGGUGUAGCGGUGAAAUGCGCAGAUAUCAGGAGGAACACCGGUGGCGAAGGCGGGUCUCUGGGCCGAUACUGACGCUGAGGAGCGAAAGCAUGGGUAGCGAACAGG